rnacentral:rRNA from 1 species
AACGAACGCUGGCGGCAGGCUUAACACAUGCAAGUCGAACGCGUGCAGCAAUGCACGAGUGGCGCACGGGUGGGUAACGAGUGGAUAUCUGCCUUUUGGUUCGGAAUAACCCCGGGAAACUGGUGCUAAUACCGGAUGGUUCCUACGGGAUAAAGAUUUAUCUCCAAAAGAUGAGUGCGCGUCCGAUUAGCUUGUUGGUGAGGUAGUGGCUCACCAAGGCGACGAUCGGUAGCUGGUCUGAGAGGACGAUCAGCCACACUGCGACUGAGACACGGCCCAGACCCAGACGGGAAGGAGAAGGAGGGAAGGGGGAAAAUGGGGAGGGGGGGCAAUCCAGAAACGCCGAGGGCGGGAUGAGGGUAAGGGGGUUGGAGUUGGAAAGCGCUUGUGACGGAGAGGGAGUGAAGGUAACGGGGAAAGAAGCCCCGGCUAAAUUUGUG